AGGAUGAACGCUGGCGGCGUGCCUAAUACAUGCAAGUCGAGCGGUAAGGCCCCUUCGGGGGUACACGAGCGGCGGACGGCUGAGUAACACGUAGGAACGUACCCCAAACUGAGGGAUAAGCACCAGAAAUGGUGUCUAAUACCGCAUGUGGUCUUCGGAUUAAAGCUUCGGCGGUUUGGGAACGGCCUGCGCAUGAUUAGCUUGUUGGUGAGGUAAAAGCUUACCAAGGCGACGAUCAUUAGCUGGUCUGAGAGGAUGAUCAGCCAGACUGGGACUGAGAACGGCCCAGACUCCUACGGGAGGCAGCAGUAGGGAAUAUUGCACAAUGGGCGCAAGCCUGAUGCAGCGACGCCGCGUGGGGAUGAAGGCCUUCGGGUUGUAACCCCUUUCACCAAGAGCGAAUUCAGACGGUACCUGGGGAAGAAGCGCCGGCUAACUACGUGCCAGCAGCCGC
rnacentral:rRNA from 1 species